GCCGGCAUAGCUCAGAUGGCAGAGCGCGGAUUUUGUAAGUCCGGGGCCGCGGGUUCGAUCCCCGCUGCCGGCC
rnacentral:tRNA from 1 species